AAUCAACGCUGGCGGCGUGCCUAACACAUGCAAGUCGAACGCGAGAGGGGGCUUCGGCCCCGAUUGAGUGGCGAACGGGUGAGUAACGCGUGGGUGACCUACCUUCGAGUGGGGGAUAACGUCCCGAAAGGGACACUAAUACCGCAUAACAUCCUGCUUUUGAAUGGGUGGAGAUCAAAGCCGGGGAUCGCAAGACCUGGCGCUUGAUGAGGGGCCCGCGUCUGAUUAGCAGUUGGUGAGGUAACGGCCCACCAAGGCAACGAUCAGUAUCCGGCCUGAGAGGGCGGACGGACACACUGGGACUGAGACACGGCCCAGACUCCUACGGGAGGCAGCAGUGGGGAAUGUUCGCAAUGGGCGCAAGCCUGACGACGUAACGCCGCGU
rnacentral:rRNA from 1 species